GAAACGUUAUGGAUCUACCAAGUCUGAAAUAGUAUGGGAUGGUUAUCGUAUCAUUUUCAUAUCAUUCGUAUUUUUGGAGAUGCUAAAUAUUAUCAGAAUAACCCCUUGAAAAGUUGAAACAUUCAUUUAAAAAGAACCUUUACAGUUUUGAAGAAAAUCGUUACAAGCAGCUUAAUAUGGAAGUCAGGUCAUUGUAUUUGGCAGCUAUAGCUCAGAGCUGACAAAAGAUUUGCUAGGCACCUCCUCUUCAAGCAAAUAGUAUACAAUCUGCAUGGAAGUUAAUAUUAGAAGAUAAGGAAGAAAAAAAAAAUGAUAUGUGAAAGAGUAAGUGAAUGUAAAUAAGAUUUACAUCUGUAUAUAUAUAAUUAACUUCCCUGGCAUUUUGCAUACAGCUUAGUAGAACAAUAGAAAAUAACCAGGAUAACUUAUCCACUCCUGAUUAGAA